GUUUUGAAAUUAGAAACUAAAUCUUAAAUGAAAGGUUUAAUUAAGGUUAAAUUAAGCACAUAUACAGACAUACAAUAAUAAUAUACCACUUAAUUUCUACUUAACAAACAUUUUUUCACACUAUUGGACGUAGGUGAUAUACGUCGCACAUUAGACGUGCCGAUAUGUUUGCCGACUUAUGUUUUACAUGGGAGCAACUGCUACCUCUCACACUUAUGAUGUCACUGCUUAAUCAAAUCGUCCAAUGCAUGGGCGGCGAUCUAGUUAAAGGGGGGGGGGGGCUAAAUCAUAACUUUCUGAAAAUUGUAUAACAAAAUUUACAGCACAAAUUUGAACCAUCUAUUUUUAGUUUGGACAAAAAACUCAUAAUAUGAUCAUACCCCUAAUUACACGCUUGUACAACGUACGUGUCUAUAAUAGUUGAUAGUAUAAUAUAUAUUUUUUUUUUCGGAAUUUUGUUUUAACAAUACACAAUUUUUUAGAAAUUUGCACUUGAGAGAAAGCCGGGGCAUUUAAGCUCCCUUAGAGACACCCCUGAUUGCAUGUUACAUGUAUCACACAUAGAGUUAAGAGUUAAGUUCAAUAGGUGCCUAUACUCUGCUUUCUUUCUUCUAUUUUUUUUUUUAUAAGCUUAUACCAAUAUUACGAAUCAGCAUAUUUUAUUUAGUUCGUGCAGUGCAUAGGGUUUAGUUAAUCCCGCUCACUUUAUUUUUUG